CGUAACAUUAGAAUACUCAAUGCCAGACUGACAGUUUCAAAAUGCAGAAAUUACUAUAUUUUGUACAUUUAUUGCAUCAAUGACAGGAGAAAUACAGAGAAAAAUUGCGAAAGUUAUUUAAAACUAUUAAUAAAGUUAAUAAGACCCACAAGAUGAGAGAAAAAAAUUGUCAAGUGAGAGCAAAUGGAAAUUGAGAAUAAGAUGUUUUUUGAAGGUUCUAUGAAUAGUUGGACUCAAUUCAACUCAUUUUUAGAUCAAAAAAACUUCUUAGACUUUGCUUCUAAAAUUGAAAGCAAUUCUAGUAAUACGAAAAAA